UUUUCCCGAAUUCUCGAUUUUGUUCUUCUCAAACGUGAUAAGAGCCAUAUUUAUAGAGCAGUCCGUCCUAUCGGUGCUGACAUCAGGAAGUUCAAUGGACAAAUAUUUAAAAAAUCGUCGUUAAACAUUUAAAUAUCGGUGUCUAAAUAUCGGUUAAGUUACCGAUAUACUCGCACUGAUAGUAACAUGUACGAAGGAGGUCGGUUAAACAAUAUCGGUUUAUAAUCAAUACAUGUUGCCGACAUCAUUCUAUAUUGUCGUAUCGGUGACCGAUAUUUAUAGACCAGACAUGUACAAUCGGUGCUGACAUUGGGAAGUGCAACGGACAUAUAUUUAAUUUUUUCGUCAUAACCAUUUAAAUAUCGGUGUAUACAUAUUGGUUAAGUAACCGAACAUAGUGACCGAUAUACAUCAACUAAUAUAUUGGUUACUUUGUAUUGGUUUAAAUCCGAUACAAGUAACCGAUAUUAUAUUGGUUAUAUAUUAUGUAUUGGGAAGUCUGCAACGGACAUCAUUAUUGAUAUCUGUUGAGUAUAGAUAGGAAUGCAUUUAAUUCCAGUCGCCAACGUGUCCUAUCGGUGUAGACAUUGGGAAGUGAACCGUUUUAAUAUUAAAUUCACUUAAAUAUUUCAAUAUCGGUUAAACCACAUCGGUUUGUAAUCGAUAAACGUUGCCGACAUCGCUGGACUUUGUGAUAUCGGCGUAACGAUAUCGGCGACAUACAUUGAUUUUUACCAAUAUAUCGUAACCGAUAUCCUAAUAGCCACAUCGGUUUAUAUUAUAUCGGUAAAGAUGGUUCGGUUUGGAUAUCGAUACGAUUUAUCGAUAUCAAUAAAAAAUUUGAAUUUUUUCCGACAUAUGCACUGACCGAUACACCCAUCGAUUGGACUAUUUUUUUACUGGACACAAAUGCCCUUCCCGCUAAAACGGGACUCUUCAUCAUCUUGGUUGCACUUCGACUGCUCCAACAUCGACGUCGCUCUUGCUUCCCAUUUGCGCCUGAUAUUGAAGUUCUGAAGAGGUUACAUCGACAAGGAUCAUUGCUAUUAUUUGCUUCUGAUGGCGCGCUCACGUCGUGUGUCGUUUGAGAGAGAAGAACAGUGAUAAGAUGGAAACUUCGGCGAAUAACACGGAGAAGAAGACGGCAAGGGAUAAGGACUUGGAGGUCAACAAGUAUUUCACCGCCAGAGUCACGCGAAAUGAUCAUUUUGAAGGCACCGUUGAUGGCAUUCGGACUAUACUGAAGCAGAAUCCUCGCCUGGAGGAACAGUUUAAGGCAUCUGCUUUUGGCCAGAUUGUAUAUGGGGUACAUGGAAUAACUUGGAGCAUUCAGUUAGUCCACAGGCUAUUGUUAAGCCUGUUGCAAAAGACAGACGAGGAAGGAUCAUUGUUCUUCAGGGUCAGAGGUCAGGAAAUAAAAUUUUGGAGGGAGGAGUUUGCGCUGAUCACGGGGUUGAAGUUUGGCAACAGCGAAGCAGCGAAGCGAAAAAUCAUGUUGAAGGAGCCCCCACAAAUAUUUGCCAGGUUUUUCCCCGAUUACAACCAAAAGAUUGGGGUUUCAGGGUCGAGGUUAAUGAAGGUGUUUCAUCAGAAUAUUGUUAGCGGAAAGGUGGAGUGUUCUGAUGACGAGCUCCUAUCCAUAUCAUAUCUGAUGAUGAUGUGGGAAAUAAAUUCCAAGGCUCAUGCCACGAAGGUGGAUAUCAGGUAUUUUCACCUGGCCACUCAUUGGGAUGAGUUGAACCGAUUCCCUUGGACAACCGACUCCUUUAUCACAACUACAGAGAGUGCCAGAAAAGGCAUAUUGAAUGGGUUCAAACAGAACGCUAAGAAGAAGACGUAUUCCAUUGGAGGUUUCCCACUUACCAUACAGAUCUUUUUGUUUGAGGUCAUGCCACAUUUGGUUGACUUGAAAAUUGUGAAAAGAAUAAGAGAAGGCCCUCAAGCUCAAAGAAUAAAGAAAUGGAAACUUUAUCCUUCGAAGAUCUCCCAAGAAGAUAUUACGAAGCUUGGAAUUUUUAAAAAAAUGUUAUCCAUAUGGUGCCAACAGAAGAGGAGAUGCGUGCAGAUUAUUUUUACAACGCACAUGAUGUGGAGGUUGAAGAAGAAGAAGAAGCUGAAGAAGAAGAAGGGGAGGAGGAGAAAAUAUCGUUGAAGGAGAAGGAAUGGGUGAAAAUGUGGUUUGAAGCAGAAGAAAAAGAAGAACGAAGUGGUGAAUUAAAGAAAAUGCUUGUGGAGCCGAAGAAAAUAAAAACUUUAAAGAACUAUUUACAAUGUAUAAAGAAUGAAAUUGGGGAAGUUAGUGGGGAAGUUCAGGAUUUGAAAAUGGAGAUCAGAAUGAUGAAAAUGGAGGUGAAUAGAGAGAUUGGAAUGAUGAAGAUGGAGGUGAAGAGGGAUAUAGGUAACAUUAUGGAUUUGUUAAAAAUAUUCCGGGGGAAGGUGAGAUUAUGGGGGAGAGGAAAAAUGGGGAUGGGGAGGGGAAUGAAAUGGAGGUGGAGAAGGUGGGGGAUGGGGGGAAGGUGGAGGAGGGGAAGGAUGUGGAGGUGGGGCUGGAAAUGGAGGGGCCGAAGGUGGAGAAGGUGGAGGGUUGGAGAAGGUGGAGGUGGGGAAGGAUGUGGAGGCAGGGCUGGAAAUGGAGGGGCCGAAGGUGGAGGAGGUGAAGGUGGGGAAGGAGGUGGAGGUGGGGCUGGAAAUGGAGGGGCCGAACGUGGAGAAGGUGGAGGAGGGGGAUAAGGUGGAGAUGGGGAAGGAUGUGGAGACGGAGAAGGUGGAGAAUGAGAAGGAGACGGAGAAUGUAGAGGAGAAAAAGGAGGGUAUGACGGAUGUGUCCUUAGAAGUAGUCAGUCCAACAAGUCUUAUUAAGGCGACGUAUAAAAAGAGACGUACGCAGAAGGGGCAGAAAAGAAAAAGGCUAAUUGAAUCAAUAUUGAAGCCCGAUGCUGAAACGGAGGACAAAGAACCACCCACAUACACCUCCAAGCUUGACAAGCUGAGCCCCCUAGACAUAAGUGCUCCAACUGGUAUUAUUUGGGAGUCCUUUGAAAAAUAUAUGAAAAAGCCAAAUAGUUGGACAUCAACUAUAAUCGCAACCUGCUGUUCAAUGAAUAAGGACUUUUUUGAAACAUUCACCAGACCGGACAAGUGGCUCCAAUCUGAGGUAAGUAAUUCUCUAAUUGUGUAGUAAUUCUGCUAUUGGUAUUCAUAUAUCGGUGUGUGACCGAUAUAUGUUACCAACGUCUGUAUUGCUAUGUAUAUAUCGGUUAUGACACCUUUAUCGACAUUCAUAUAUCGGUUAAUGACCGAUAUAUGUUACCGACGUCUGUAUUGCUAUGUAUAUAUCGGUUAUGACACCUUUAUCGACAUUCAUAUAUCGGUAUUCAUAUAUCGGUUAAUGACCGAUAUAUGUUACCGACGGAUGUAUUGUACUUAUAUAUCGGUAUUCGAUAUCUGUUACGAUCAUUUAUUUAUAAACGAUAUGUGUUUAUGAUAUUAUGUUUAAAUCCUUGCCCUUGCAGCACAUGGACGCCUACGUGUACAUGCUGAACAAGAGAAUGAAGGAAUCACAUACUUACAAUAAAGAGUUAACAUUGGUUGAUACAACAUUUGUCCAAGCCUUGAAAAGUGAUUGGGAUCUUUAUAAGACUGGCAAAUGGAAGACGUGGGGUGAUCACGACCUCCCUGUUGUAUUUUUUUGGGCGAUGAGACAGGUUACUCCAACCCUUUUUUGAACGCUGAUAACGUGCUCUGCCCUGCAAACAUCGAUAAUAAUCACUGGGUUCUGGUUAGGGUUGAUUUGGGCGCUCAACGUGUUCAUGUUUACUCCUCUACCAAACCUAUUGGUUAUGAAAAUAAGUUUCAAUAUAUGGUAGAGAUGAUACCAAAACUUCUAACAAAAUGUGGAUACGGAGAUUUGAAACCUGGAUUUAUUCUGAAGGAUAAAUGGGAAUUAAAGAUUGAGGACGCUCCGCAGCAAACUGGGGGUGGUGAUUGUGGGAUUUUUGUUCUGAAGUGGAUGGAAUUAAUGGCCCACAACAAACCAAUUGUAGAAAUGACCCAGUCAAAUGCUUCAAAAUUCAGAACUCGAAUGGCUUGGGAGCUUUAUACGUUUGCAAUAUUGGAUGCAAGGGAUUUUGCAGCCAAGAUUGCAGAUAAAACAGACAAAAAGAGAAAUAAAAACUUAACAAUUAUAUUUGUACUUGUAAAUUUACAUUCUUUGCAUAGUACAUAUUGUGUACAGGUUAUUGGAAUAGUUGCAAUGAUUGUUGUCAUUCGUUGAACAUAGUUGUAUUAUAACUGUAAAUUUACCUUAUUGUAAUAAAAAUUUAAAUUUAAUAUAAACUAUAAAUGCAUAUAGAUUAUUGUAAUAUGAUUGGAGAAUUUAAAUAUACAUGCACUGAUAUCGGUUAUGAAACCUAAGUAGGUAAUAAAUAGCUAUACCGAUAUCGGUUCAACAUAUCGACCAAAUACCGAUGUAAAUGACCGAUAUCUUUUUUAUUCUAUUUCAUCGGUACAUACGUCGGUUAUAUGAACCGAUCCUAAUGCAAAGGUUAUUCGUUUGCAAAAUAUCGGCCGAUGAUCGAUUCAAACAAACCAAACCGAUAUCCUCCUCAUUCAUCAUAAUCGGUUAUCGUUCGUCGGUAACGUGACCGAUACAUAAGAACCAAUACCCUAUUACAUAAUUUUGCAUGUCUGUAUAUAACCGAUAUCGGUUUUUAAUUAUAAAUUAAACGUGUUCCUUGUUAGAUCGGUGUCUUAAAAUCGAUAGUGUUAGGACAUGGAUGUGUCGGUUAAUAUAGAUCGGAUAUUAAUGCUAAUAUAUCGGAUUCCAUAUAUAUUGUGUCGGUUACCGAUGGUCGGAUUCCAUACAGAAUUUUGUUUCAUCGGUUUACAUAAAUGGUGAUGAUAACGAUAUGUCAGAACCGAUAUCGAUCACCAUAGAAUUU